AUUGAACGCUGGCGGCAGGCUUAACACAUGCAAGUCGAGCGGGGGAAGGUAGCUUGCUACCGGACCUAGCGGCGGACGGGUGAGUAAUGCUUAGGAAUCUGCCUAUUAGUGGGGGACAACAUCUCGAAAGGGAUGCUAAUACCGCAUACGUCCUACGGGAGAAAGCAGGGGAUCUUCGGACCUCGCGCUAAUAGAUGAGCCUAAGUCGGAUUAGCUAGUUGGUGGGGUAAAGGCCUACCAAGGCGACGAUCUGUAGCGGGUCUGAGAGGAUGAUCCGCCACACUGGGACUGAGACACGGCCCAGACUCCUACGGGAGGCAGCAGUGGGGAAUAUUGGACAAUGGGGGGAACCCUGAUCCAGCCAUGCCGCGUGUGUGAAGAAGGCCUUAUGGUUGUAAAGCACUUUAAGCGGGGAGGAGGCUACUCUAGUUAAUACCUAGGGAUAGUGGACGUUACUCGCAGAAUAAGCACCGGCUAACUCUGUGCCAGCCGCCGCAGUAA
rnacentral:rRNA from 1 species